CAGACCUCUAAUCGGAAAAG
rnacentral:rRNA from 18 species